GGUGUGUACUGUCUGACUGGGUCUUACCUCUUGGUGAGACUUAACUGCGCUUUAUUGUGUGCGUCCGGGAACCAGGACUUUUACCUUGACAAAAUUAUAUUGAUCAAACUUUGCUUAUGCUCGAAUACCUUAUGUUGGAAUAAUAUAAUAUGACCUGCGGUUCUAUUUUGUUGGUUUCUAGGACCACCCCAGUGAUUAACAUGGAUACUUGGGGGCAUUGUUAUUGAGUCGCUAGAGGUGAAAUUCUUGAAUUGACUCACUACCAACUACUGCAAAUCCAUUUGCCAAGGAUGUCUUCAUUAAUCAAGAACGAAGGUUAGGGGAUCGAAAAGGAUCAGAUACCGUCGUAGUCUUAACCACAAACGAUGCCGACUAGAAAUCGGGCUUGACUAUUGAGGCUUGCUCGGGAUUUGAGCGAAAGCAAAGUUUUUGGGUUUUGGGGGGAGUACGGCUCGCAAGGAUGAAACUUAAAGGAAUUGACGGAAGGGCACCACCGGGAGUGGAGCCUGCGGCUUAAUUCGACUCAACACGGGGAAACUCACCAGGUCCAGACAUACGGAGGAUUGACAGAUUGAAAGCUCUUUCUAGAUCGUAUGGGUGGUGGUGCAUGGCCGUUAUUAGUUCGUGGAGUGAUUUGUCUGGUUAAUUCCGAUAACGAACGAGACCUUAUUAUGUUAAAUAGACAGACUCAUUUUUUAAUGGGGUUGAAGGCUUCGGUCUUUGCAG
rnacentral:rRNA from 1 species